GAAUUUUAUAUAUAAAAUUUAUUAUUAGAGUUAAUUUUUAUUUGGAUAAAGUUAUAUAUUUAAUUGGGAGGAUUAUUAAAUUAAUUGAACUUUAAUUAAUAGGAGGAUAUUAAUAAAUAAUUUAUAAUUUUAAUUAUAAAGGAGGAUUAAUUAAUUGAUUUAGAAUUAAUUACCUUAGGGAUAACAGCGUAAUAAUUUUGGAAAGAACAUAUUAAUAAAAUUGAUUGC
rnacentral:rRNA from 1 species